rnacentral:sRNA from 2 species
CAACUGCAUAUGCUGAAUUCCCUGAACAGGGAAACGGGGGAACCAUCGAAUCCGUCCGCGUCGCCGCGGCGGUUUCCCGGGGUGAAUCCUUCCUGCGCGCAGCGCGGAAGGUAGGGCACUCUCAAGCCCGAAUCCGACAGCUAACCUCGUAAGCCGAUUGAGAGAACCG